AGGUGGCUCCACCAUCUGGUUUAAUAUGGCUGCUCCAGCUCCUGCCAUUGCAUCUGCAUUCCAGCCUGUGGGAAGGGCAGAAAAACAAAGGAGAGCUAUGCACCUUUCCUUCUGAGGGUAUGAAUAGGAAAUUGUGCAACUCACCUCUGCUCUCAUUUCAUUGGCCAGAAUCCAGUAAUAUGGCCACGCCUAUCUGCAAGGAAGCUUUGAGGAGAGACAAGAUGGCUGCCACAGUCGCCUCCAGCAUUAUGCCAGCAUUCCAGGCGGAAGAAGAAACAGUCCAACGGUUUCCCAGAACGAUGUUUGGUGGGGAAAAAGAUGUGAAAACCUCAAAGGCUCCCAGCCACCGCCAGGCACCGUGACAUGAGAGACCCCACGUGGGUCACAUGUAUGACGCAACUCCACUUUCAGAGAAAGAAGUUGAGCCUCAGAGAGAUUAAGCAACUCACACACGUUUUCGUGGAGGAGAUAAGAGACGAUGCAGGUGGGCUGAUUCUAACAUUCUGCCUCUUGACAAUAAGGGGGGAAAAAGGGGAAAUUAACAAACAAGCAGCAAUACACAAACUAAAAAUGCGCCAGCCGGGCUAAUGGCACCCUGCUGAGGGACCCGCCACUGCAGCCCGACGGACUCUGGGACACACACCACCUUUAAGAAUCGAGUGAUUCCUGCAAAAUUCACAGUGAAUUUCACGUUUCAAAUUUGCAAAGCAUAAGUAAAUAAUAUUCUUCCGAGCCUUCUUGCAUCUAAAACCUCUGAACUGCCUGGGGACGUCAGGGUUUCGAGCGCACAUGAGGGAGGCCCUGACCCCCGACUCAUAGGAUCUUAGGCACGGGAGUGCAGGAGCUUCCUGGCACAAAAUAUUAGAGCCAGAAAAUAAAAGGACACCAAAUGCAACUGUUGGAAGCACCUUGUUGCUCAUCCCAUCCAACCUCCCACCCAGGGCAAGAUGAGGAAAAGCCACGGGAGAGCAGAGCAGCUGCUCCAUGCGGUGGCCCGAGCGGCGUCUGAGGCAGCUUGUGAUUAAUGGCCAAGAAUCACAGGGAAAAAACAGCCAUCAGAUCACGGGUUCCGGGUGGUCACUGAGGGUGGGGGAUGGGGUCGCCUUGGUGGGCAUGUGACCUGUGCAGUCACCCGGGGCCCCCUGCCUUGACGGAUGCCACAUUUGGUUUAAUGCUCUCCAUCGCCGUCUUGAAAUUCUUAAUAAUUUUUGAGCAAGUGUGUCGCAUUUUCAUUUUUCACUGGGUCACACAGAGUGUGUCACUGUCCAGGCUGGGAAGGUCUGAGAGCUGGCUCAGGAAGGGGCAUCUCAGGUGGGGGAGCAGGGCAGCAAAGUCUGGGAGCUAGAAAGCCCCAAAUCGGCGUGGGAAGCAGUGACUUGCCCAAGACCACUUAGUUAGGAGGUGGUAGCACAAGGAACUGAGCCCAGUCUUGUCGGACUCCAAGGCUCCUGGUCUUAAACACUUUGCUCUCUUGUCUCCUGGGACAGACCUCACACCUGAGCUGCCUUUCUGACUGUUCCUAUAAUCUCAGCCUUCUCUUCCAGGGAGCCUUCCUGGAUUGCUCUGGCUCAAUCAUGUUUGCCAUUCCCUCCUUACUUCAUCCUUCCUACCUGGCUGAGCUACGGCCCUUGCCCCAGCCUGUCUCCUUUCCCUGCCCCUCCUGGCUAGAGUCUACGGUAGCUUCUGGGCCCCCAGGCUGAUUCUGACAGUGCCUUACCCCCCAAGAAGUCUUGGGCUCAGUUCUCCUGCUGCAAACUUCAUGUAGAUUCUAUAGUGCAGCCUCUCUCACCUUCCUAUUCCUAGAGCUGGGCUCCUGCCUCAGUUUCCCUGUCUAAGACGCCAAAGAACUAUGGGAUAAUGGGACUCAGGCCUGGUUCACAUUCUGUCCCACCACACACUCUAGUGCAAGCAGCUUAGCCUCUCCAAGCCUCAGUCUCCCCAUCUGUUAAGUGGAGGGAGACCCCACAUCAGCCAAGUGAUCAAGGUUAGCAUCGCCAGUCAUGUGGAUGUCGUGCACCCAAUGACGAGGGCGCCACACCUCUGUGUUCUCUCCCCUAACCGAGGGACGUGCUACAAGAUGUGUGAGCGGUACCCUCGCAAACCAAGGUCAUGAAAAGCAAGGAAAGAAGGAGAAGCUGUCACAGACCUGAGGAGACCAAGGAGACCCAUGGCUAAAUGUGACGUGAGAUCCUGGACCAGAAAAAGGACGAUUCUAGGUAGAACGUGGCCAGGUUGCAGAGAACUCCAGAUGCCGCUGCAAGGAGCUGGCGCUUCACCCCGUGGAGUUGGAGCCUGGAAGGUUUGGGGCAGAGAAAGAGCACGAGGAAACGAGCCAGUCAGCACCUCUCCAGUCGCUGCAGCAUCCCAAGCCUCAGAGCCGACAGCAGGUCAGCGGUGACAAGCCCGGCCACGGGGCCGGUGACCUCCAGCUCCCAGGGGCCUCCAGCUGCCCCAAUUCUGGACGGGCUUCUGACCCCACCCCCAGCAUCCCUCUGGGCAGCACCAGAUAGAUGGUUUAAUAAUGCGUGCUGCCUGGCUGACCUUGUGGCUGCGGAACCAGCUGAGAUGCACACCACCUUCCUGCCGUGGUCACAGGGCCCAGGCCAGAGGAUCCAGCAGAAUCCCAGGACGGAGAAUCCUGGAGCCCCAGCUUUGAGCUGCCCUCGAUUCAUGGCCUAUGAGGACCAAGACUCUCAGAAUCAUAGAAUCCUAAGGAAUCGGAUCCUCCGACUCCAGGAUCCACACCCCCGGUGCUGUUUCUGCCUUGGCUAGUCUGGAUGCAGAACACAGAACUUCCUCAGUUUCCCCAAAUGUAACUCCAGCCCACUGGCCCCCAAGACGGCUCCUGAUGAUAGCUUCCUCCGGGAACUCACACCCUGUCCUCUCCCACCAAGCCCAGGGAGGAGCCGUGUGACCAACAGGACAUCGCAACAGUGACAGUGUGUGCCUUCUGAGGGUAGCUCAUCCAAGACCUGUGGCUUCCUCCUUGUUCUCGCUCUGGGGGAGGCAGCCCACGCUGUGAGGACGCUCAAGCAGUUGUGUGGGGGCAGUCCAUGUGACAAGGACCUGAAGCCGCCCGCCCACAGCCGGCCCCACCUUGCCAGCCACGGGAAUGAGCCGUCUUUGGAGCAGGUCCUCCAGCCCCAGUCCAGCCUUCAGAUGAGUGUAGCCCCAGCCACACGCUUGACUCGACCUUACGAGAGACCUCAAGCCAGAAUCACCGGCUUCCCGAUUCCUGACCACAGGAACUGCGAAACUGUAACCACAUUUUGCUGAUUUAAGCCACUGAGUUUGGCAAUUUGUUACACAGCAAUAGAUGGUUAAUAUGAUAACCACAUAGACUUUUCCCAAGGGAGGUGGGGGGGGCAGUGAGAGGGUGGGAGAGGAGGCUGAAGUGGGGGGAGGGGCUUAUCUCGCAGACUCCCCAGCAACAUAACUUAAAAAUCCCUUUUAGAAAUGUCUAUUCUCCAAAGACCCUUCACAAUCAGCCUCCUCUGGGGACGUCCCUCCCUCUCACCUUCUCCGGACCUGAGGUCUCCUGCCUACUUUCCUCAAACCCCAGCUCCACGUCCUCUCAUCCUUAUCGGGCCCAGGAAUUAUCUGUUUCCUAACCACUGCCUUCAACCUUCAUACCCUGACCUGUCACGGUGCCCAACAAAACACUGCUCGAUGAGAGGACCGACCUUCCUGAGAAGGCAGCUCAGGCUUCACGUCUUCGUAUUACAUGGGGGAUGGCUCCACAGUGGGGCAGGAGGCAGAGAUUUCAGGGUGGCCUCUUCAUUCGUUUUCCUUCUGGGUUCUGUGUCUUAUGACCGGUCCCUGUCUCCAGUGAUCACAGCCCUCAGUUCCAGCAUUGGAGGCACCACAGAAAAUCUGAUUUUUGGUCUGGAUCCAAAACAGGAAUGUGACACCCUGUACACGCUCUAGUGUGUGUGUGUAUUUCUCUAAAAGAAUCACUUAACCUAAUUUUCUUAGCAUCAACUCAAAAUGCCGUGUAGACCGAGGGAAAAAAAAUUCACCUAAGUACAGAGGGUAGAUCUCGUUACGCACCUUCAACAAGCUUUUAGCAUCCCUCUGUUCCUCUCACUCCUCUG